CCCGACAUCAGUACGUGUAGUUCCGCACACUGCUUUUGGUGUUUCAUCUUCACUCGAUUUGUCUGAACACAUCGACCCGAGCAAACGUGCGAGUACCUUGUCGACACGCAUCUGACGUUCGAAAUCAAGUGAUUUCCAAUAGCGCACAGAAAAAGUCGGAAGCGAGCGGCAGCGACUGACGAGAAAAGAUUAUCGAACGAUUAGUUUUCGGAAACGUGGGACGAAUCGGCUGCUAGGAGAAUGUCGGAAAGUCAUAAAUCAUCCGUCGUGGCUUUGAAGGAUUUGAUCGAACGGUGCGUGAACAAUAUCCAUGCCGUGCCACGCGCACUCGACGCCUAUCGUCCGUCGAUCGAUUGCAUGCGGCGCAUAAUACGGGAACUCGAAGAGCCCGUGGACAUUUUGAAUUCUAUCCAAGACCCGGGUCCGUGGACCUGGCUGUUGAUUGGAAAAAUUUUCGAGAAGUUCGAUUUCCUCAGCCAAACGGUGUGGCUCAGAUAUCACGGGGACCUGAGCGAACAAGAGGUGGAAAACUUUUCGAUUAACUUGACGGAUGCGUUGGAUUUCUGGAGGAUCCUAUGCGACGAUUACGAGGCGAGAGGUAUCGAAAAAGAUGUGGACAUCAUAAACGAAAUACUAGGUGAAGGGAUAGACUCCGAUUUGCUCUCGCGCCUAUAACACCGAAAACCACCGAAAACCGCGUUAUGUAAUAAUCGUACACGUCCAAAUAAUAUUAAUGUACCGGAGGAGACGCGUCAGAUGUUAGCGUUUGGCGUAAUUUUUCAAUUAGGUUUUAACCAAUAAUAAAAUUUGACAUAAAUCAAAAUCAAACGUUUAAUCGUUGCACGCGGUUUGCACACAGGAAAUCGGUCGGACGUUAAUUUUUUUUUGUCGCACUCGUAACACGAAGGAUUAAAUCGUUUUCGUUUAAUCUAUAGUUGAACAAUAUGGUUUCGGGGUGAUAAAAAUUCAAUUACCGCUUUUACCGUUUUCGAAAAUCUCUUUGCUACGCGAAACGCACGUAUUUCAAAUCAGAUUAUCUGCCGUCAUUAAAUUAAAUAAUAAAUCGAACACUUUAUCCAAAGCGUCUCUUCCGAACCUAGUUUUAAUUUAAUUGUUUAAUAUCAAUCACUCUCCAACUUCAUUCAGACGGUACGCGUAUGUUAAGUUUUAGCGUGCGCGCGACAACUCAGUCUAGUCGUAAGUAGUUCAACGUAAUCUUUAGAAAAAAAUGCGCGUUAUCGUCCGUUUUCGUUUAGCCGCAUUGCUGUUUCAAAAACGAAUUUAUUAUUUUUCCGAUACGACAUUUUUGUUACACAAGACUUCAACUACGGCGUAUCAGGACGAACGGAUUUUCGUUUUCGAACCCGUCCGUUAUGCGCACGCGCACACAGAAUGCCCUCUCGUUUCGGGAUUGAAAAUCGACGCGCACCGCGUAACAAUAACAUGACGUGCGCAUAUAGAUCGUAUCGAUCUCGGCAACUGCCACCCUACGGCCCGACGUCGUUGCAGCUGCGUAUUCCGUUAGCUCGUAUCUCGUCCAUAAUGUUUCGUAUACGCGUGUUCAACCGUAGCUAUGAACGCAUUUGGUUUUCUUCUUUUUUUUUUUUUUUAUCUCGAUAUUUCUACUUGAUACUUAUCAGAUUAAUUACGUUUUAUUUCAUAUACCCAUCGUUGGUAACGUUUUUUUUUUUAUUCCAUUUCGCGCACGCUAAUAGAAUUAAUUAUUUUAAUGAAAUCUUUUCAAAUAACAUUCGAUCGUUAACCGUAAUAAAUCGUUGUCUACGGACUUCUUUUUAACGACAAGACAUUUAAUGUAGUAAUAUGUUUUUAUGAAUAUCAAUUAUAAU
rnacentral:lncRNA from 1 species